rnacentral:rRNA from 1 species
AUGUGUUUCGGGAAUUCUGAAAAGGAAAACACUUUAAUUCUACCGACUAAUUACAACCCAUCAUCAUCAUCCUCACUCGUGCGACAUGUGCCCAAUAGGCCCCACCUACCGCUCUCCAUCCCUCGUCGUACUCUUAUAUCUUUUCUAACUUUCCCUUUUGCCCAUUUUCUCCAAAUCCCCUCCCCAUCCGACUACUCUCUCUCUCUCUCUCUCUCUCUCUCUCUCUCUCACACACACACACACACACACACACACACAACAAGGCUCCUUCACCCCAAUCUCUUCUUCGCAUCACCACCUCACCCGAUUGCUUGUAUCCAUGUCGGAGCUCGCUCAUCCUCCGCACCACAAAAGUUGGCGAUCUCUUCUCCACAUCACCACUUCGCCCGAACCCUUUGUAUUCAUCAUUUUGUCUACAAAAAAUCGCUCGGGUAA